UCCGGAGGGUGCAAGCGUUAAUCGGAAUUACUGGGCGUAAAGCGCGCGUAGGUGGUUUGCUAAGCCAGCUGUGAAAUCCCCGGGCUCAACCUGGGCACUGCAGUUGGAACUGGCAAGCUAGAGUAGGGUAGAGGGGUGUGGAAUUCCAGGUGUAGCGGUGAAAUGCGUAGAUAUCUGGAGGAACAUCAGUGGCGAAGGCGAGACCCUGGACCAAUACUGACGCUGAGGCGCGAAAGCGUGGGGAGCAAACAGG
rnacentral:rRNA from 1 species